UACGUAGGGGGCAAGCGUUGUCCGGAAUCAUUGGGCGUAAAGGGCGCGUAGGCGGCGUGGUAAGUCAGCUGUGAAAUCUCCGAGCUUAACUCGGAACGGUCAGCUGAUACUGCUGUGCUAGAGUACAGAAAGGGCAAUCGGAAUUCUUGGUGUAGCGGUGAAAUGCGUAGAUAUCAAGAGGAACACCUGAGGCGAAGGCGGGUUGCUAGGCUGAUACUGACGCUGAGUGCGCGAAAGCUAGGGUAGCAAACGGG
rnacentral:rRNA from 1 species